AUUUUCCUCUUCUUAGUCUUUGUCAUCAAUAUCAUCAUUAUACAUGUCAUCACAGUGCAAAUUUAAGCUAUUUUUAUUGAAAGGGCUUUAGUUUUUAUUUAGGACUCCACCAGGGUUGUAGAGGGCUUUCAUUCCAUACUUUUAUAUUUCAGCCUCAGUGACUAAACCUAUUUCCUAAUGAUUUCAGCAUAAUCUUUUCUUUUAUUGUCCUUCCAAUCAUAAAAGAACAUGUUUCAAAAAAAGAAAAAAUGCUACAUGCAUUGCCCCUUUUGGUAUAGGGUUUUCUCUCCUUUAUAAUAAUAGAGUGAUCCUGCAAAUCCAGUUCAGAAUUGUAAUGAAUUAUUGAAUCCAUAAGAAUAGACUACUGACAUUGAUGUAGACUUUAGGGGAAAACAUCUGGCAGGCAGAAGUUCUACAAUACAUUGCAAAGGAUCUUAGCCAAAAAGAAAAGUUAAAGGGAAGUACCUGCAAGGAGGGCAACAGUCCAUACUGAAGGUGGAACACAUGCAAUAGCAAAAACAGUCCAUGAUCUUUUGAUUUCUCCUGGGCCUCUUUGUGCAGUAGCUUGGAAAGGAGCCUUUACCCAGGUCCAAGGUGCCUCCUCUUCUUGGUUUAGUGAUCUCAGUUCUGGGAAGCUGGGCUGCUCCAGAGAGUCUGCUGAAAGAACAUGACAAGACUCCAACUCAGAUGCACCUUUUAGCUCCCAGUCUCAGCAACUGCCAUGGCCAGCAAUGAUUCCCAGGGCAGGGAGACUCUAAAGCCAGAAAAAUCAGAGAGGCCAGACAUUAUCUCCGUUUCAAGAGUAGCAUGUGAUCAACCAAGAAGCAGGUUGUGAGCAGACUCCCUCCUACUAUUGAAGGUCCUUCCCCCAGCUAUCUGAGAAACGGCCAUGAAGGGGGGACUUAAAUACUCUAUGCUUGCUCCCCGGAGCUGCCCAUGUGGGGGUGUGGAACUCGGACUCUGACAUCCUAGGCCAAGAGGCAAUGGUGACUCCCAGCCCUGGCUUCAACAGGCUCUGUAUUAUAGACGUGUUGGAAAUCAAGGCAGAGGUGCGAGAAGAAAGGAACUGAAACGAUCUUGCGACUGGGCCGAGGUCCUUACUUAUGUUUAUGUUUUGGAUGUGGGAGGAGACAUAGAGUAGAGAAGGGAGGGACAAAGCUGAUGAGACAGGGUGGAAAUGCAGUUGACAUUUCUUCACUCCCCAGCAAGAGGAGAUUGGCUCUGUAGUUAGCUCUCCUUCCCCAAGUAAACAGUCAACACAUUCCGACAGCCUGGGUCUGUACUUUCCUGAGUAUAACAACCCCAUUCCACACACAACACUGUUAGCCCGCUGAGUCUCCUGAGUCCUCAGGAACACGGUGGUACUCCCAGAAUGUGAAAACUGUUGUAAACUCCCACUCAUAUGUUAAGGAAAUAUUUCCAAAUAUUAAGGAAAUGUUUGUCUCCCUGACCUGAUUCCAUGCUAAUCCGAACAGACUUCCUAAUCCUGAUGCUCUUUGGUGUCACUUCCUGCCCACUGUGCCGCGUCCAUUAGACCGUGAGGUUGCUGAGGGCAGAAGCUGCACCUUGCUGCUGCUGGGUCCCCAGGGUGUCGUUCAGGGCCAGGCCUACGCCAUAGUUCAUUAAAUAUUUCUAGAAAGGAAAAGAGGCAUGAAAUGACCGACUUGUGCACAUUUGCCUGAGGCAUCUCUGGUUUUAGCAUUGAAUGUCCUGUGUCCUGGGAAACCCCUCAGACUUGGCAACCUGAGACAAUUGGUCACCUUGGCUGGAAGGAGGGAGGGAAGAGUGAAGUACAUUAGUCCAAGCCCACCUGGGGCAGAACCCUGCAUGCUCUGACUUGCUGGCAUAAGGAAUGGGCGGCUGAGUAGCAGGUGAGCUCAUGGGGUCCCUAAGGAGAUGCGGUGAGCCCAUCCCUUUAAAGAAGCAGAGGGACCAUGAGCCAGACUUUCAUCCCAUCAUCACUGAGUCCUGAAAAUAGAAUUAUUAUAUUCAUUUGGGAAACAUCUGUUGUGAACCUACCCUUUGUCGGGUUCUGUGCCAGAUCCUGAGAGUACGGAAGAAGCAAGAACAGGUCUUCCUUCCAGGAGUGCAGAGGAAGCGGGGCGUGCUGGGGAAGUGUCCCGUGGGCUUCCUGUGUCUUCCCUCCACUAUGCAACUGGUCUUCCUGUCCAGACUUCUGCCCUUUGAGAUGCCGUAAGAUCUCAUAGUCCCCAUCUGUAACAGAGAUAAGAAAGUGAAGUCACAUUUUGUGGAAAGCUUUUCUAAAUUAAGGGGUUAAGACAAAAAAGAUUUUGGCUUCAUUCACAGUUAACUAGAAACUUCCAUUAACCAUAAUGACCCAUUCCCCAAGCUGGCUGGCUAAUGGAGGUCCUGCUGCAUUCGUCUUUUUGUUUUGCUUCCUUCCUUUCCUUUGCUCCCAGGCUCUCUAUCAACUGUGGGUUCCUGUGCUCCUGUCUCUGCAGCAGCCUUUUCUUCUCUCCUCUUCCACCCUCUCAGUUGUCAGUGCUUGACUCAGCCGGGGCUGUG
rnacentral:lncRNA from 10 species